AUACGUAGGGGGCGAGCGUUGUCCGGAAUGAUUGGGCGUAAAGGGCGCGUAGGCGGCGCGGUAAGUCUGGAGUGAAAGUCCUGCUUUCAAGGUGGGAAUUGCUUUGGAUACUGCCGCGCUUGAGUGCAGGAGAGGUUAUCGGAAUUCCCGGUGUAGCGGUGAAAUGCGUAGAUAUUGGGAAGAACACCGGUGGCGAAGGCGCCUUUCUGGACUGUGUCUGACGCUCAGAUGCGAAAGCCAGGGUAGCGAACGGGAUUAGAUACCCCGGUAGUCCUGACCGUAAACGAUGGGUACUAGGUGUGGGAGGUAUCGACUCCUUCCGUGCCGGAGUUAACGCAAUAAGUACCCCGCCUGGGGAGUACGGCCGCAAGGCUUAAACUCAAAUGAAUUGACGGGG
rnacentral:rRNA from 1 species